rnacentral:rRNA from 1 species
UACGUAGGGUGCAAGCGUUGUCCGGAAUUAUUGGGCGUAAAGAGCUCGUAGGCGGCUCGUCACGUCGGCUGUGAAAACCCGGGGCUCAACCCCGGGCCUGCAGUCGAUACGGGCGAGCUAGAGUUCGGCAGGGGAGACUGGAAUUCCCGGUGUAGAGGUGAAAUUCGUAGAUAUCGGGAGGAACACCGGUGGCGAAGGCGGCGACCUGGGUAGAUACUGACGCUGAGGUGCGAAAGCGUGGGGAGCAAACAGG